rnacentral:rRNA from 1 species
CCCUUAGAUGUUCUGGGCCGCAUGCGCGCUACACUGAUGCAUUCAACGAGUCUAAAACCUGCUCUGAUAGGGGUGGGUAAUCUUUUGAAUGUGCAUCGUGAUUGGGAUAGAUGAUUGCAAUUUUUCAUCUUCAACGAGGAAUGCCUAGUAAACGCAAGUCAUCAGCUUGCAUUGAUUACGUCCCUGCCCUUUGUACACACCGCCCGUCGCUCCUACCGAUUGAAUGAUCCGAUGAAUAUCAUGGAUUGAGGAUGCAAGCAGGUUCGCCUGUCUUCAUCUUCGAGAAGUGAAGUAAAUCUUAUCAUUUAGAGGAAGGAGAAGUCGUAACA